rnacentral:rRNA from 1 species
AAUGAACGCUGGCGGCAUGCCUAACACAUGCAAGUCGAUCGAGACCUUCGGGUCUAGUGGCGCACGGGUGCGUAACGCGUGGGAAUCUACCCUUGGGUUCGGAAUAACUCAGAGAAAUUUGAGCUAAUACCGGAUGAUGACGUAAGUCCAAAGAUUUAUCGCCCAAGGAUGAGCCCGCGUAGGAUUAGCUUGUUGGUGAGGUAAAAGCUCACCAAGGCGACGAUCCUUAGCUGGUCUGAGAGGAUGAUCAGCCACACUGGGACUGGGACACGGCCCAGACUCCUACGGGAGGCAGCAGUGGGGAAUAUUGGACAAUGGGCGAAAGCCUGAUCCAGCAAUGCCGCGUGAGUGAUGAAGGCCUUAGGGUUGUAAAGCUCUUUUACCGGGGAUGAUAAUGACAGUACCGGGAGAAUAAGCCCCGGCUAACUCCGUGCCAGCCGCCGCCGUAACAC